UACGAAGGGGGCUAGCGUUGCUCGGAAUCACUGGGCGUAAAGGGCGCGUAGGCGGCGUUUUAAGUCGGGGGUGAAAGCCUGUGGCUCAACCACAGAAUGGCCUUCGAUACUGGGACGCUUGAGUAUGGUAGAGGUUGGUGGAACUGCGAGUGUAGAGGUGAAAUUCGUAGAUAUUCGCAAGAACACCGGUGGCGAAGGCGGCCAACUGGACCAUUACUGACGCUGAGGCGCGAAAGCUAGGGGAGCAAACGGG
rnacentral:rRNA from 1 species